UACGGAAGGCAGCAGUGGGGAAUAUUGCACAAUGGGCGCAAGCCUGAUGCAGCCAUGCCGCGUGUAUGAAAAAGGCCUUCGGGUUGUAAAGUACUUUCAGUCGUGAGGAAGGUGUUAAGGUUAAUAACCUUAGCAAUUGACGUUAGCGACAGAAGAAGCACCGGCUAACUCCGUGCCAGCAGCCGCGGUAAUACGGAGGGUGCGAGCGUUAAUCGGAAUUACUGGGCUAAAGGGCACGCAGGCGGUUAAUUAAGUUGGAUGUGAAAUCCCCGGGCUUAACCUGGGAAUGGCAUUCAAGACUGGUUAGCUAGAGUCUUGUAGAGGGGGUAGAAUUCCAUGUGUAGCGGUGAAAUGCGUAGAGAUGUGGAGGAAUACCGGUGGCGAAGGCGGCCCCUGGACAAAGACUGACGCUCAUGUGCGAAAGCGUGGGGAGCAAACAGGGAUUAGAUACC
rnacentral:rRNA from 1 species